rnacentral:other from 1 species
AAGCCCCUGCUUUGUUGGUCAGCGGGCAGAAAAUUGUGUCCCAACGUUUAAAACUUAGGGGGUAAGACCUGAAAAUGGUGUGCAUGUCCGGUAAAUCCGGAAAGCCUUAAAUUUUCAAUGAUACUCCCACCUGGGAAACCGGGUCCAAGUUUUCUGUCGCAACCGCAAAAGCGGGGGUUUU